UACGUAGGGGGCAAGCGUUGUCCGGAUUUAUUGGGCGUAAAGAGCGUGUAGGCGGCUAGACAGGUCCGCUGUGAAAACUCGAGGCUCAACCUCGAGACGUCGGUGGAAACCGUCUGGCUAGAGUCCGGAAGAGGAGAGUGGAAUUCCCGGUGUAGCGGUGAAAUGCGCAGAUAUCGGGAAGAACACCCGUGGCGAAGGCGGGUCUCUGGGCCGAAACUGACGCUGAGGAGCGAAAGCGUGGGGAGCAAACAGG
rnacentral:rRNA from 1 species